UUUAAGUAUAGCUAUAAAUUUCUAUUGUCCGUCUUAUUUGAAAAUUUUUUUAUAAUUAGUAUUUUUUUACUAUGAGAUGAUAAAACAUGAAUAGUAUUUUACUCAUGACUUAUGUUUUUAAAUUUUUCUAAAUUUUUUUUAAAUAAGACGAACAAUUAAAGUUAGACACGGAAAAUCAUGGCUACACUUAAA
rfam:Oryza meridionalis cultivar OR44 (W2112) chromosome 7, whole genome shotgun sequence.